UACGUAGGCAGCAAGCGUUGUUCGGAAUUACUGGGCGUAAAGAGUGUGUAGGCGGUGCUCCAAGUCUGGUGUGAAAUCUCCUGGCUUAACUGGGAGGGUGCAUUAGAAACUGGAAUGCUAGAGGAUGGGAGAGGUAAGCGGAAUUCCUGGUGUAGCGGUGAAAUGCGUAGAUAUCAGGAGGAACACCUGUGGUGUAGACAGCUUACUGGACCAUUUCUGACGCUGAGACACGAAAGCGUGGGUAGCAAACAGG
rnacentral:rRNA from 1 species